rnacentral:rRNA from 1 species
GACGAACGCUGGCGGCGUGCUUAACACAUGCAAGUCGAACGGAAAGGCCCUGCUUUUGUGGGGUGCUCGAGUGGCGAACGGGUGAGUAACACGUGAGUAACCUGCCCUUGACUUUGGGAUAACUUCAGGAAACUGGGGCUAAUACCGGAUAGGAGCUCCUGCUGCAUGGUGGGGGUUGGAAAGUUUCGGCGGUUGGGGAUGGACUCGCGGCUUAUCAGCUUGUUGGUGGGGUAGUGGCUUACCAAGGCUUUGACGGGUAGCCGGCCUGAGAGGGUGACCGGCGACAUGAGGCCUGAGAGAGGCACCAGAGUCCAACGGGAGGCAGCGGGGGGGAGUAUUGCACAAUGGGGGGAAGCCUGUGGCAGAAACGCCGCGUGCGGGAAGACGGCUUUCGGGUUGUAAACCGCUUUCGCCUGUGACGAAGCGGGAGUGACGGUAAUGGGUAAAGAAGCACCGGCUAACUACGUG